UAGACUGAACCUUUAACACUG
ensembl:piRNA 21ur-13559 ncRNA